CCUAACUCUCAUCCCGUCGUCUUCACUCUUCUAGCUACUUCUACUAACUAAAAUAUUCCAUUGCCUCAUUCAUUCUCUGUGUAUUCUCAUCUCUUAGCUAUUUCUUCUUUUUGCUAAUUCUGCUCCUCAAUGCCGCAGUUUUUUAGAGCCAGGAUGCCUCAGCUGCUGGUUGUCGAACUUUUGCUAGGGGAACUCCCAGAGUAACCCAAGUGACAAAUAUUUGCAAAGAGCAGGUCACUUUAAAGUGGAGCAUGACAACUGCCCCAGUGGAGUUGCUAAGGGCCCUGAAAUGCUGGAUUUUUGUUGCAACGACUUAAAAAGGCUACUAACCUAUCAAGUUCCUUUAAUUGGCUAAUGUUCUGCUUCUCGAUUGGAGCCAUGCGUGGUGUUACAUUUUUACUAUGGAUAAGUGACAACUAAGGAUGGGAUUGGUUAUUUGGCGUCUGUUUUGCAGCAGUUAGUUUGGCAAUCAUGCUCUUGACCAUAAGAAUAUAGUUCUAUAGAUCCAGUGUUCUUCAAGGAAGACAUCGGACGCGCAUUUUCCAGAUCAUGAAGAUCCAAAACUGAAAAUUCGUAGAUUUCUACGUUGGUAGAUUUCGAGGACUGUAAGGUACUUUAAUGGCUAAGAUAAGUUUGAGUAGACUUUGUAAGCAAGAAGAAGAUAGUAAAUUUGGACGAGGUUCGAUGCAAAUAUGAACAUCUUUUGCCUUUGAUGACUUCAUGAAAUUCGGGUAGACGAUAUUGGAAUUGUCUUUACUAUGGGGUAAGUGAGUUUUUCCUUCAAACAUUAAUCUUGAAUAGUGUAUAUGAAUCUAAUUGCUUUCAUUUUAGAAUACUAGAUCAUGCGAUUUUUAGCUUUGGAAAGAUGAUUCUAUUGAUGAACGAUCCAAAUUUGUUAUUCCUAAAUUGUUGGGAAGAAUUGGGGAGCUUGAGAAAAAAGUUGAAUCUUGUACAAAUUGUGCAUUUUAUGAACACAAAAUAGUUGUUGACAAGACUACUAGGACAAUCAAAUCCGUGGAGAGCAAAAUAGACAUGAACAAAAUAGAGUUGCAAAUGGACAAUUUUCAGGAUGAUUUGAAGAUGAUGAAGGCAAAUGAGAAGAAAAGAAAAACAAGUUGGCUAAAUCCAAGAAAAGGGAAAAACAACUUUGGAAUACUCUCAUUUGUGUAUGUAUUUUGGGUGUUAGUUUUCUAUUUCUAUUCAUGUUCUUGAAAGGAGCUCCAAGAAGGUUGCCCUAAACUAAGUUGCUUUGUUUUUGUUGUGUUUUAAGGGGCUGAAAUUUGUAUCAAUUAUUGGGUGUUACCUUAGACAAAACUGCUAGGUUGUGUAAUUAAAUUGUUGUGUAAUGAAAUUGUAAGGUUGAACUUGACA